AUGAACGCUAGCUACAGGCUUAACACAUGCAAGUCGAGGGGCAUCAGGAAGAAAGCUUGCUUUCUUUGCUGGCGACCGGCGCACGGGUGAGUAACACGUAUCCAACCUGCCCUUUACUCGGGGAUAGCCUUUCGAAAGAAAGAUUAAUACCCGAUAGCAUAAUGAUUCCGCAUGGUUUCAUUAUUAAAGGAUUCCGGUAAAGGAUGGGGAUGCGUUCCAUUAGGUUGUUGGUGAGGUAACGGCUCACCAAGCCUUCGAUGGAUAGGGGUUCUGAGAGGAAGGUCCCCCACAUUGGAACUGAGACACGGUCCAAACUCCUACGGGAGGCAGCAGUGAGGAAUAUUGGUCAAUGGGCGCUAGCCUGAACCAGCCAAGUAGCGUGAAGGAUGAAGGCUCUAUGGGUCGUAAACUUCUUUUAUAUAAGAAUAAAGUGCAGUAUGUAUACUGUUUUGUAUGUAUUAUAUGAAUAAGGAUCGGCUAACUCCGUGCCAGCAGCCGCGGUAAUACGGAGGAUCCGAGCGUUAUCCGGAUUUAUUGGGUUUAAAGGGAGCGUAGGUGGACUGGUAAGUCAGUUGUGAAAGUUUGCGGCUCAACCGUAAAAUUGCAGUUGAUACUGUCAGUCUUGAGUACAGUAGAGGUGGGCGGAAUUCGUGGUGUAGCGGUGAAAUGCUUAGAUAUCACGAAGAACUCCGAUUGCGAAGGCAGCUCACUGGACUGCAACUGACACUGAUGCUCGAAAGUGUGGGUAUCAAACAGGAUUAGAUACCCUGGUAGUCCACACAGUAAACGAUGAAUACUCGCUGUUUGCGAUAUACAGUAAGCGGCCAAGCGAAAGCAUUAAGUAUUCCACCUGGGGAGUACGCCGGCAACGGUGAAACUCAAAGGAAUUGACGGGGGCCCGCACAAGCGGAGGAACAUGUGGUUUAAUUCGAUGAUACGCGAGGAACCUUACCCGGGCUUAAAUUGCAGUGGAAUGAUGUGGAAACAUGUCAGUGAGCAAUCACCGCUGUGAAGGUGCUGCAUGGUUGUCGUCAGCUCGUGCCGUGAGGUGUCGGCUUAAGUGCCAUAACGAGCGCAACCCUUAUCUUUAGUUACUAACAGGUCAUGCUGAGGACUCUAGAGAGACUGCCGUCGUAAGAUGUGAGGAAGGUGGGGAUGACGUCAAAUCAGCACGGCCCUUACGUCCGGGGCUACACACGUGUUACAAUGGGGGGUACAGAAGGCAGCUAGCGGGUGACCGUAUGCUAAUCCCAAAAGCCUCUCUCAGUUCGGAUCGAAGUCUGCAACCCGACUUCGUGAAGCUGGAUUCGCUAGUAAUCGCGCAUCAGCCACGGCGCGGUGAAUACGUUCCCGGGCCUUGUACACACCGCCCGUCAAGCCAUGGGAGCCGGGGGUACCUGAAGUACGUAACCGCAAGGAUCGUCCUAGGGUAAAACUGGUG
rnacentral:rRNA from 1 species